rnacentral:rRNA from 1 species
CGGUUGAUCCUGCCGGAGGUUACUGCUAUCGGAGUUCGAUUAAGCCAUGCGAGUCUAAAGGUUUCUUCGGAAGCCUUGGCGGACUGCUCAGUAACACGUGGAUAACCUACCCUUGGGACUGGAAUAACCCCGGGAAACUGGGGAUAAUACCGGAUAGAUCAGGGAUGCUGGAAUGCACCUUGAUCCAAAGCUCCGGCGCCCAAGGAUGGGUCUGCGGCCUAUCAGGUUGUAGUGGGUGUAACGUACCUACUAGCCGACGACGGGUACGGGUUGUGAGAGCAAGAGCCCGGAGAUGGAUUCUGAGACACGAAUCCAGGCCCUACGGGGUGCAGCAGGCGCGAAACCUUUACAAUGUGCGAAAGCAUGAUAAGGGAACUCCGAGUGCCAGUAUCUAAUACUGGCUGUCCUUGUGCCUAAACCGCACAAGAUAGCAAGGGCCGGGUAAGACCGGUGCCAGCCGCCGCGGUAACACCGGCGGCCCGAGUGGUAGCCGCUAUUAUUGGGUCUAAAGGGUCCGUAGCCGGUUCGAUAAGUCCUCUGGGAAAUCUGGUUGCUUAACAAUCAGACUGCCAAGGGAUACUGUUGAACUUGAGACCGGGAGAGGUAAGAGGUACUUCAGGGGUAGGAGUGAAAUCUUGUAAUCCCUGGGGGACCAUCUGUGGCGAANGCGUCUUACCAGAACGGGUCUGACGGUGAGGGACGAAAGCUGGGGGCGCAAACCGGAUUAGAUACCCGGGUAGUCCCAGCCGUAAACGAUGCUCGCUNNGUGUCNNNACGUGUGACCGUAUCUGGUGCCGUAGGGAAGCCGUGAAGCGAGCCACCUGGGAAGUACGGUCGCAGACUGAAACUUAAAGGAAUUGGCGGGGGANCAC